UUGAAGGUUCUGGAAGCCUUGCCCAGGCUUCCGGAUUUUGCCACAGAGCAGGGCGUGUGGGCUGGUCUGGCUUAGAUUUAACCAGAAAUCCAGAGGUCCCAGGGAGAGGUGUAUAGGAUGACUCCCCGCCCUGGGGGAGGGCAGGGAUGGACCCACAGCCCCCAGAGAGCACACGUGUGCUGGAAGAGGAGCCUUCCCCACAGGACAGAGGCUCCAUAAGCAUUUGUUGAAUUAACAAAAUAACUUGCUUUCCGGAAAACACCACUCUUGGGAGGGCGCUCAGACCUCCGGCACUACAGUCACUACCCUCAGAGACCCUAUCUGCUUGCCUUCUGACCGGAAUAUCCUGUGUUACCAUGGACAGCCCCAUGCUGACAGCUGCCUUCCUGGACUCAAGUGUCUCAUCCAGCUGCCCCAGUUGUGAUCACCUUGGGGCAUGCACCAUGACUUUGGACACAGCUGGUACAAUGCCUGGCACAGACAAGAAACUCUCAUUUUACCACCACCUACAACGAUCGCAUCUGUUGUGCUUGUACUAGACAUUCAGCCCUCUGAGAGAGGACCCCGGUGGGCUUUGUUCUCUGUUGGCCGCUCAGCAGGGAGAGCAGAACAGCGCUUGGCACACUAUGGGCUGCUCAGGAAAAGUAUUUCGAAUGAAUGUUUCAUAAAGGAGAGUGCCCUCGACACCUCGAAUAUCAGAGGUCAGAAAGCCCAGCUGGGAAGCCUGGCUUCUCUCAGGCUGGCCAUCUCCAUUGUGACUGUUUCCCCAACCAGUUCAAUUCAGCCUCUGCUGUUUGCAGCUGCAUGGUCAUCAGCAAACUUCUUAAGCCUUCUGGGCCUCCAUUUCUGCAUCUGUAAAGUGGGGCUGUUAUUAUUAGCCCCUUCCUUGCAGAGAUGUAAUCAUGUGAAAUGAAUGACUCCAAAAAACCUUAAGGAAGUGUCUGACUCAGAAGAGCCUCGAUCAAUGUCAUCUACCAUCACCAUCACCACCAUGAUUUGGCUGGGGUAGGCAGUGAAGAUGACAGAAUGGGCUCUGGGGUCCUACCAGAAGAUUAGGGGAUUAAUACCAUUUGCAAGGCCAACGCUAUCCCUGUUUGGUUUUGCCAACCUCUCGAUCCAUCCGUAAAAUAAACCGGAUGAAGCCUUUAUCCAUCUCUUGUUUUGAGAAGGAGGCUAGCAGGGAACGCGGAUUUAAUGUGGCAGAUGGUGCUGUCCUUGAAUUAUGAAACCAAAGGAGGAAAUGAAGGUGCUCGGUUGCAACAGCUACGGGCCAGCCAGAGUAGAGGCCAAGGGGUGAGGCUUCAAGGAGGGCAGAGGGUGUGUUGUAUCGUCCAAGCACUGGCUAUUCUUGAGGGCAGUGGGAGUCCUAGAAUAACAGAAUUUUAUAGCCUAAAAUAAUUUUAGGCCACCCCCUUCAUUUUAUAUAGGCAAACGAGGCCCAGAGAGGGAAAGUAACCCCCAAUGUCACACAGUGAGUGGCAGAACAAUCCACACUGGGAUUCCUUGAACAGGGUUCUUUAAUGGCUCCAGGCCACAGCCAGCAGCAAACCCUGUUCCACCGCAUCCUGCCUUUGGGCUCCUCUGCUCUGCACCCAUGACCCCUCUCAGCAUCUCAGGGCGAAUAUGAGUCAGAGCCCUGGAGCCAUUCGAGCUGGUUCUGCAACAAACAGGAGCCAGUUUCAUACCUCCUGGAAACUCAGUUACCUUGUCUGUCAAAUGGGAAUAAUCCUAAGUGGUCACUGUGAGUAUCUGAUGGAUGACUAUCACGGACAAUAUUUAGCCUGGGCAUUGGUGCAAAGUAAAUGCUCAAUAAAAUAUAAGUACCUAUUGUGGAGCCAGAAGAGACUUCAGGUUCUAAUGGUUCCCUGAGGUUGUGAGCCCCUCAGAGGGCGUGCCCUGGGUAUUUAUGGGACAUCUUUUGCGCUCUGCACCUUGCAGAGCAACUGACACCUACUGAGGACCCCUGUAAAUGGUCGUGGCCAGCGACAGGCUCCUCCAGGGACGCCCAUGUCUCAGUCGGCACCAUGACGAAGCCCAGGGACUGCCGCCAGCAAUGCAUGCGAC